UAGGGCUCAUGCACACGACCGCGUGCCCUCCGUUGCCAUACUGCAGGCCGCAUACAGCGGGUCAGCAAUACACAGGCACUGGCCGUGUGCAGUCCGCAUCAAGGACCCAUUCACUUCAAUGGGUCCAGGAUCCGGGAUAUGAGGAGCAGAAUCCCAUGGAAGCACAA